rnacentral:lncRNA from 1 species
GGUAUGCACUGCCGGUUUCAGCUAAAUCCUUCUUAAUUUGCAAAAUCCUUGCCUAGAUUCCGGCUUUAGUAGAAGGAUCAGUAACAAGGAUCCGUGACCAGGCCGGCGUAACCAGCUUCGGCAAAGGAUAAUCAAUGAGCGGCCGAGAGAGAUCCGUCAAAGAGACGGAGCAUAAGGAUGAGACCGCCCGCAGUACUACUUACCGACUCACCGACCAGCAGCGGGCAGCGGAAAACGGCGACACGGAGCGGUCACCGCGCAAGGUGAGGGACGCGUUCAGCUGACAAGAGAGGAGAAUCUGGUGGCAGUGGACAUGGGGCGCUGCUUGCCGAGGAG